GCAGCCUGAGAAGAGACGGGGGACCUGGGUAUCCUGAACUCUGGGCCCAACCUCAAACUGAAAAACUACAACCCCCAUGAACCUCUGGGGCUAAGACCUAGAGAGAAGAGACCCCCUGUGGCCCCAGAGGCUUCUGGGACAUGCAGUAUCCAAUCUCUCCCACAGCCUUAUGGCAGAUUAUGAGGCCACCCCGUUGCCAACCACCUUCACCUUUGGACCCUGGACCCUUUUGGAGAUGCCCAAAUCCAGCUGCCGGCCCCUCCCUCAAACCUAAGGGUCCUCACCCUCAGUCCCCUCCUCCCUCAGACCCAGUAAGUCGUCCAGGCCCCAGCCCCUCCUUGAGAUCCAAAAGUAUAUUCCCGUCCAUUCACCUUGAAGUUGGAUGAGGCGUAUCUUCUGGGGCCACACAGAAGCCAAGAGACAGGGAGGAGUUUGCGGGCCCAAAUCUGGAGGGGGGGGGGACAGAAGUAAGAAAGGUAGUGAGGCCAGGAGAGAGAGAGAGAGAGAGAGAAAGAGAGAGAGAGCAGGGGACCCUGGCGCUCGCUUUGCCACUUCCUGAACUUGGGAGGUCCCUCUGGCCUGCUCUAUCCCAGGCCCGGUGCAUUCUAGAUGGGGCAUGUAGCCCUGGCCAAGUCUGCCCCCCUCUCAGAUCAGCGUAUAGCGGGAGGGAAUCCCAAAGGAGGCCAAGUCCCCUCCCUGCCCUCGCAAGAGAAAUCCCUAGAAAAAGCUGAAUCAGCUCCUGUUCCCUCCUUACCAGGGCAAAGUUAAACACAGGCACCUCCCACCCCGGGGAACUUUGUCCCCAGCCCUGAAAUCAGCUCAGACAGAAGACAACUGACUGAGGGAAAGUGCACAGCCUGGCAGGAAAGCAGCUGGGUCAUGAGGUUCGGGCCACCACAACAGCGGACGUAGCCUGCUCCUGCCCUGUGCGCUGGGUGAGCGGACGUGAGUAUGAAUGGCAGCAGUCACUGGUCAGUAGCCUCGUGCUCCCUGCCACGGGACCUCCUCCUCGGGGCCCCGCAGCGGAACCCGAGCACCGAGGGAGCGGCGCAAAGCCGGACGAGCCGGGAGCUGGUGGGCCUCCCGGAAGUGGGCCUCCCGGAGGGGUUUCCCCCAGCCUCUCUCCCCACCCAACCCUGCCCCGGCCCGGGGCCGCGAACCCACCUGCCCCAGCGCGGCUGCGGCCAUGGUCGGUGCGACGGGCAAACUGUACCCGCCCGGGGCGCCGCCCAGAAGAAAGACGUUCCGGCCCCGCCCCGCUCACGCCCCCCGACGCGGGAGGGCCCCUCCUCUGACACCCCAGGCCGGCCGGGCCUCCCCGAUUAUAGGGCGCCCAUGGGGAGGUGGGCCCUGCUGGAGAGCGCAUGCGCUGGAAUCCGCGAGGCGAAGGGGAGUCCAUUGACAUACGCCCUCCUCCCCACCCCCACCCAGCUUCUGUUCCAGCCCCGCAACUGCUGUACCAGAACGUACAUGGAAGUUUUGUUUCUGUUCGUUCUUUUGCUUUCAUGCAUUUUACUAGGUACUGUCACGGAACGCUAACGAGGAUAAGCAGUUCGAGGUGAGAGAGGAAAGGCCAGGAACAGAAAGAAACCUCCGCAUAUCUCGAUCCCUGGGUGAUAAGGAAAAGCUCUCGCUGUAAACGUCUGUAAAUAGAUCACGUAAAUGAGAAAGGACUUGGGAAAAAGGCCUCGGAAGAGGGUAGCAGGAGAUACAACGCACGUGGUUCAUCAUGCCUCCUUCCGGUCCCUGUCAUCAGCGAGGCCCGGAAAAUUUUAAUCCCCCACCGCAUCAGUGAGCCUCUAAGAACAGCCCCUCAGGCAGGGUUCCCUGGUUAUGCCCCUUCAUGAGUGUCUCCCCACCCACAGGACCCCGAAGGACAGAGUUAGCUAAUUACAGCGCACCAGGAUCCACCUAAUCCCUAGCGAUUCAAACCUGCAUCAGUGCCCCCUAUACCGAACUCCUCGGCCACUGUGGCCCCAAAACCAUCCGUGGUCAGAGUUUCCCCCAACUCCUGCAUCCGGGUUACUGUGACACCGAAAUGUUCGCGCUGUGUCCUCAGACUCCGAUUCCUGGGCCGCUGUGCCUCCGUAAUCCCACCCUGGGAUAUUUUGCCCCCAAAUUCUGUCCCCCGGCCCUAAGAGCCACAGGUCUCGGCAAAUCCCCAAGCCUCCUCCUCCUCCUCCUCGGAGUCCCGUUUCGCUUCCCUCCGCCCCGGUCCUCCUCGGCCACCACCUGGCCCGGGGCCCGGGGGCCGCGACCGCGCCCUGCUCGCCUCGGCCAAUCAGCGACUGCCGCACACCCCCGCCGCGGCCAAUCCGCAGCAGCUAUGCAGCCCCACCCCCUGGCCGGGGAGGCUAACCCCCUACCGCGCCCCGCGCCCCAUCGGGAACCCAGGGCCCGUUCUUCCUUAGCUAGGGAGUCCACGCCCUCUAAGUUUCCCCUUCCCCCAAACCCAGGAGUUCGGGCCCCAGCCCCUCCUCCCUCUGACUCAGAGGAGUCUGAACCCCAGCUGCCUCUUCCCUCAGAACUUGUGGAGCCCACCACCCUCCAAUUCCUCAGCCGGCGAGGUCAAAAUUCCUUUCCCCUAAGGACCAAGAAUAACCAUGAGGAGGCCCUUUCGUUUCGCCUCCUCUACCAUUAUCUCCUAAUAGAGCUUAAUUUACUCUCCCCUGCGGGCCUUUUUAUUAGCAGGGGUGAAGCCGACCGGCAGUACUUUUCUCAGGAGCCCUCCGGGACGGGCUCCUGCUGCAAGGCCUGCCGGGAGUCGUAGUCCCUGGGGUCAAGACCACUCGUGGGAACGCGUGGGGCUGCAAGGGGCGGGGCGGGGGGCGGGGGUUGGCGGGACGCGCUCCCGGCGUGGCAGAACUCAAAAGAGCAGAAGAUCAAUGACAUGAAGGCUUCUUCCUUCUGGCUGCAAACUACUUUUAUGGGAACCUGCGGGGGGUGGUUUGGCACGUUGGUUAGUGGACUUAAUGUCUAGAGUUGGGGUGUGCAUCUAAGAAGCAGGUGGGUCGAAGCUGAAAUUUGGGAGUCCUAGUUAGGAAGGCCCAAGUGGAAACGUGAGAAAUCAGGAUGGGUUGGUGGGGGGCUCCAAGGGGGUGCCGGGAAUGGCCUUGCACCCGUACCCCAGCUCUGCACCCCCGGUCACAAACAGCUCAGUCCCAGUGCAGAAGUUGGCUUCAGAGGCCAGGAACACGGCUGCCGCUCCCACGUCAGCUGGCUGGCCCAUGCGACCCAGGGGCUGGGGAGAGACAAGGGAAAAAGGAGAUCAAGGGAAGCCCCCGCCUGACUGCUACACCCUAAGCCUCCCAUACCACAUGGCUCUGGCCCCCCACUCCUACCUGGGCCAGUAUGCCUUCUCGGAUUGUGGCUGUGGGGUCAGGCGUGGCGGCGGCCAGCUCCUCCCACAGUGGGGUCCAGAUGUUUCCUGGGGAGAUACUGUGGGGAGGGAGAAGAGGGGAUCAGGGAAGUGUGCCACAAACACGGCCUCGUGGGCUCACUUCCUGCCUUCUCCGCCCAUUGGAGCUGCUCACCAGUUGACCCGGACGCCAUAUUGACUCUCAUCCAGGGCCAAGGCUUUGGUCAUGGCUGUUACCGCCCCCUGCGGAAGGUGAUGUGGGGGAGAGUUCAGUCCAGGGAAGUUGAGGUUCCUCCUGUUCUCUCCUCCAACCAGGGGGUGUCAAGCUGGGACCUCAGAAUGGGGUAGCCAUGCCUUCCCUGAGGGCUUCUAUGGGAUGCCCCAGGCUCUGUUUCUUGGGAGGCACUGGCUGCAGGUUGUCAUGCCUCAGGGCUGAAGUCCUUGGAGGCCCUGGUGGGGAGUGAAGGAAGGGGCAGGGUACCUUGGUGGCCACAUAGGGAACUGCCUGGACCUGGCCAAUGGCCCCGACCAGACUGGAGAUGUUGAUGAUGUUCCCCUGACUCUUCCGCAGGUGGGGGAGGGCAAGCUGGGGAGACAGAAGGCCAAGUAAGUCACCUGAGCCCCUAGAGCUGCCCCCAGCCACACUGAAACACGCCCUGAUGUCUGGGACAAUGGCCAUUGCUCUGCCAGAGACAGAGAGGGCGCAAGCAGGGGAGGGGCCGACAGAGAGGGAGAGAGAGAGAGAAGAGAGAGAAUCCCAAGCAGGCUCCACACUGUCAGUGAAGAGCCGGACACAGGGCUUGAACUCCUGAACCCUGAGAUCAUGACUUGAGGCUAAAUCAAGAGUCAACGCUUUAACCAGCCAACCAACCAACCAAACAAGGGACUGACCCACCCAGGCGCCCCUGCCUCUUUCUUUCUUUCUUUUUUUUUUUCUUUCCCAUUUCUUUUGUAAACCUUAUUACUCUCCACGUAGGUAUUGAACUUCCUCCCCACCCCUACCUGGCAAAUGUGAGGUCCCUGAGGGCUGUGGCACUGGGCACACAGCUAACGCUCAACAAAUAUUUGUGGCACAUUCCCUGUGACCCCUGCUCAACCCUCCCACACAUUCCUUGGCCCAUAUCCCCCACCCCCACCCCGCUCCCAACCAAGGUCACCUAGCACGCAUCAGCGUAGCCGUAUCAAGGACCAGCUGGAACCUUAUUGGCCUCCCUUUGGACACCUGCCCAGGAGAGCCUGGCUGUGCAGCUACGCUCUGGCCUGACUCCCAUUUCCCCUAAAUGUUGGGGCUCCUGGGUCUGCUCUCCGAGCUCUGCCAGGGGAGCCCCCACUUUGCUGGUUUCCCGUUUACAUUGGAACUGCCUUCUGGAGCUCCUGACCUGCCCCCUUUGGGCAUCUCCGUCUGUCUGUCUCCAGUGCAAAACCCCCUCCAUCGUCGCCAAGAAUCUGCCUCUCUUCCUCAUUUCCAGCCUCAGACAUGGGGUCCCCUCCUACCCAGCUUCUCAAGCCAGAGACCUGAGGGCCUUCCAGAGCCUCCUCCCUCUCCCAAAGUUCCUCAUCCGAUCUGUCACUAAGCCUGGCCAUUGCGCUUUCUAAGGACCUCUUUAAUCCAUACGAUUCUCUCCACCUCAUUCAUUCGCUCAACAAACAUUCACUGGGCCCCUGGUAUGUGCCAGGUCCUGUGGUAGGUGCCGGGGAUACCACAGGAAACGCGAUGGGGAGAGAUUUGUGCCCUCGUGGAGCCCAAAUUCUGGGGGGAGGUAACAGUAAACACAUAAAAGUGCCUAAUGGAAUGUGCUAGAAUGUGAUCAGGGAUAAGGAACAAGAAGUAAAGCAAGAUGAGGAGAAUGAGACUAUUGGGGUGGGUGCGGUUGCAAAAAGGGUGUUCAGGCAGGAGUUGUGGGGAGGUCUUGGAGAAGUCUGGGCCAGGCAGAAGGAACAGCAUAUGCAAAUGCCCCGAGGCAGGACAGACCUGCCUGUUCCACUCAACAAGGCCACUGUGGCCGGAAGUGAGGUCAGAGGAGGAAGAGGGGCCAGACCAUGUUAGGGGCCUUGAAGGCCACCUCUUUUUACUUGCACAAAUGUUGCUGUCUCCUUUUUUUUUUCUUAAUUUUUUA